AGAGUUUGAUCCUGGCUCAGGACUAACGCUGGCGGCGUGCCUAACACAUGCAAGUCGAGCGGGGUAGCAAUACCCAGCGGCAGACGGGUGAGUAACACGUGGUCAACCUUCCCGAUAGUGGGGAUAACUAGCCGAAAGGUUAGCUAAUACCGCAUACGAUCUUCGAGAGGCAUCUUUUGAAGAUGAAAGGAGCAAUCCGC
rnacentral:rRNA from 1 species